GCCUCUGUAGCUCAGUUAGUUAGAGCGUUGCACCGGAAUCGCAGGGCCGUAGGUUCAAUUCCUACCAGAGGAC
rnacentral:tRNA from 1 species